CCAGACUCCUACGGGAGGCAGCAGUGAGGAAUCUUCCACAAUGGGCGAAAGCCUGAUGGAGCAACGCCGCGUGCAGGAUGAAGGCCUUCGGGUUGUAAACUGCUUUUAUAAGUGAGGAAUAUGACGGUAACUUAUGAAUAAGGAUCGGCUAACUACGUGCCAGCAGCCGCGGUCAUACGUAGGAUCCGAGCGUUAUCCGGAGUGACUGGGCGUAAAGAGUUGCGUAGGCGGUUUGUUAAGCGAAUAGUGAAACCUGGUGGCUCAACCAUACAGACUAUUAUUCGAACUGGCAAACUCGAGAGUGGUAGAGGUCACUGGAAUUUCUUGUGUAGGAGUGAAAUCCGUAGAUAUAAGAAGGAACACCAAUGGCGUAGGCAGGUGACUAGACCAUUUCUGACGCUAAGGCACGAAAGCGUGGGGAGCGAACCGGAUUAGAUACCCGGGUAGUCCACGCCGUAAACGAUGGAUACUAGCUGUUGGAGGUAUCGACCCCUUCAGUAGCGAAGCUAACGCGUUAAGUAUCCCGCCUGUGGAGUACGGCCGCAAGGCUAAAACAUAAAGGAAUUGACGGGGACCCGCACAAGCGGUGGAUUAUGUUCUUUAAUUCGAUGAUAACCGAAGAACCUUACCAGGGCUUGACAUCCAGGGAAGGACUACGAAAGUAGUUUGUGCCUUUUGGAACCCUGUGACAGGUGAUGCAUGGCCGUCGUCAGCUCGUGUCGUGAGAUGUUAGGUUAAGUCCUUCAACGAGCGCAACCCUUGCAAGUAGUUGUAUUUUUCUACUUGGACUGCCCCGGUAACGGGGAGGAAGGAGGGGAUGAUGUCAGGUCAGUAUUUCCCUUACGUCCUGGGCUAGAAACGUAAUACAAUGGCUAGUACAAUGCGCAGCGAAGCCGCGAGGUGAAGCAAAUCGCAUCAAAGCUAGUCCCAGUUCGGAUUGGAGGCUGAAACUCGCCUCCAUGAAGUCGGAAUCGCUAGUAAUCGCAGAUCAGCAAGCUGCGGUGAAUACGUUCCCGGGUCUUGUACACACCGCCCGUCAAACCAUGAAAGUGACCAACACCCGAAGUCCGAUUCGUCGGCCUAAGGUGGGGGGCAUGAUUGGGGUUAAGUCGUAACAAGGUAUCCGUACCGGAAGGUGCGGAUG
rnacentral:rRNA from 1 species